UACGUAGGGGGCAAGCGUUGUCCGGAAUCAUUGGGCGUAAAGAGCGUGUAGGCGGCUUGGUAAGUCCGCUGUGAAAGUCCAGGGCUCAACCCUGGAAUGCCGGUGGAAACUGUCAAGCUUGAGUCCGGAAGAGGCGAGUGGAAUUCCUGGUGUAGCGGUGAAAUGCGCAGAUAUCAGGAGGAACACCGAUGGCGAAGGCAGGUCUCUGGGCAUCUACUGACGCUGAGGAGCGAAAGCAUGGGGAGCGAACAGG
rnacentral:rRNA from 1 species